rnacentral:rRNA from 1 species
AACGAACGCUGGCGGCAUGCCUAACACAUGCAAGUCGAACGAGACCUUCGGGUCUAGUGGCGCACGGGUGCGUAACGCGUGGGAACCUGCCCUUAGGUUCGGAAUAACUCCCCGAAAGGGGUGCUAAUACCGGAUAAUGUCUUCGGACCAAAGAUUUAUCGCCUUUGGAUGGGCCCGCGCUGGAUUAGCUAGUUGGUAGGGUAAAAGCCUACCAAGGCGACGAUCCAUAGCUGGUCUGAGAGGAUGAUCAGCCACACUGGGACUGAGACACGGCCCAGACUCCUACGGGAGGCAGCAGUGGGGAAUAUUGGACAGUGGGCGAAAGCCUGAUCCAGCAAUGCCGCGUGAGUGAUGAAGGCCUUAGGGUUGUAAAGCUCUUUUACCCGGGAUGAUAAUGACAGUACCGGGAGAAUAAGCUCCGGCUAACUCCGUG